CUGAGGAGGAAAUAUAGGACAACAGGAGGAGGAGGAGGAGGGAGCACUGCGUGGAGCCGUAAAGAGGAAACAGAGCUGCAGCAGACUGAGCUGCACCAUCUGCAUCUCUUCACCAGUCAUCUCUGAGCUCCAGCAGGAUGAAGGGGCUGCAGCUGCUCGGCCUUCCCGGAGCGUGAGGACCCUCACAGGGCCGCGUCUGCCUCGUCCUCACCCGCACCUUACCCCUCUGUGUGUAGCUGUGAUCCUCCAUCUCUCUGCAGCAGCAGCGCGGCCUCUCUGCUCCAUCAGCUGAAACAUGGACGGACUCCGCCUGCCCCCCCUCAUAGAGGAGGUCCUCGACUCCUCCGACGAGCUGUGUGAGCUGAAGGAGGACAAACCCACCUAACUUG